GACAGAGGGUGCAAGCGUUAUCCGGAAUCACUGGGUUUAAAGGGUGCGUAGGCGGCUAUGUAAGUCAGUUGUGAAAUACCUCGGCUUAACCGAAGGAAGUGCGAUUGAUACUGCGUAGCUUGAAUCAGGUUGAGGUAGGCGGAAUGUGGCAUGUAGCGGUGAAAUGCUUAGAUAUGCCAUAGAACACCGAUUGCGAAGGCAGCUUACUGGGCUUUGAUUGACGCUGAGGCACGAAAGCGUGGGGAGCAAACAGG
rnacentral:rRNA from 1 species